rnacentral:rRNA from 5 species
UUAAGUUAGAAAGGGCGCACGGUGGAUGCCUUGACACUAGGAGUCGAUGAAGGACGGGACUAACGCCGAUAUGCUUCGGGGAGCUGUAAGUAAGCUUUGAUCCGAAGAUUUCCGAAUGGGGAAACCCACCAUACGUAAUGGUAUGGUAUCCUUAUCUGAAUACAUAGGGUAAGGAAGACAGACCCAGGGAACUGAAACAUCUAAGUACCUGGAGGAAGAGAAAGCAAAUGCGAUUUCCUGAGUAGCGGCGAGCGAAACGGAACAUAGCCCAAACCAAGAGGCUUGCCUCUUGGGGUUGUAGGACAUUCUAUACGGAGUUACAAAGGAACGAGGUAGACGAAGCGACCUGGAAAGGUCCGUCGUAGAGGGUAACAACCCCGUAGUCGAAACUUCGUUCUCUCUUGAAUGUAUCCUGAGUACGGCGGAACACGUGAAAUUCCGUCGGAAUCUGGGAGGACCAUCUCCCAAGGCUAAAUACUCCCUAGUGAUCGAUAGUGAACCAGUACCGUGAGGGAAAGGUGAAAAGCACCCCGGAAGGGGAGUGAAAGAGAUCCUGAAACCGUGUGCCUACAAAUAGUCAGAGCCCGUUAACGGGUGAUGGCGUGCCUUUUGUAGAAUGAACCGGCGAGUUACGAUCCCGUGCGAGGUUAAGCUGAAGAGGCGGAGCCGCAGCGAAAGCGAGUCUGAAUAGGGCGUUUAGUACGUGGUCGUAGACCCGAAACCAGGUGAUCUACCCAUGUCCAGGGUGAAGUUCAGGUAACACUGAAUGGAGGCCCGAACCCACGCACGUUGAAAAGUGCGGGGAUGAGGUGUGGGUAGCGGAGAAAUUCCAAUCGAACCUGGAGAUAGCUGGUUCUCCCCGAAAUAGCUUUAGGGCUAGCCUUAAGUGUAAGAGUCUUGGAGGUAGAGCACUGAUUGGACUAGGGGUCCUCAUCGGAUUACCGAAUUCAGUCAAACUCCGAAUGCCAAUGACUUAUCCUUAGGAGUCAGACUGCGAGUGAUAAGAUCCGUAGUCAAAAGGGAAACAGCCCAGACCGCCAGCUAAGGUCCCAAAGUGUGUAUUAAGUGGAAAAGGAUGUGGAGUUGCUUAGACAACUAGGAUGUUGGCUUAGAAGCAGCCACCAUUUAAAGAGUGCGUAAUAGCUCACUAGUCGAGUGACUCUGCGCCGAAAAUGUACCGGGGCUAAAUACACCACCGAAGCUGCGGAUUGAUACCAAUGGUAUCAGUGGUAGGGGAGCGUUCUAAGGACAGUGAAGUCAGACCGUAAGGACUGGUGGAGUGCUUAGAAGUGAGAAUGCCGGUAUGAGUAGCGAAAGACGGGUGAGAAUCCCGUCCACCGAAUGCCUAAGGUUUCCUGAGGAAGGCUCGUCCGCUCAGGGUUAGUCAGGACCUAAGCCGAGGCCGACAGGCGUAGGCGAUGGACAACAGGUUGAUAUUCCUGUACCACCUCUUUAUCGUUUGAGCAAUGGAGGGACGCAGAAGGAUAGAAGAAGCGUGCGAUUGGUUGUGCACGUCCAAGCAGUUAGGCUGAUAAGUAGGCAAAUCCGCUUAUCAUAAAGGCUGAGCUGUGAUGGGGAAGCUCCUUAUGGAGCGAAGUCUUUGAUUCCCCGCUGCCAAGAAAAGCUUCUAGCGAGAUAAAAGGUGCCUGUACCGCAAACCGACACAGGUAGGCGAGGAGAGAAUCCUAAGGUGUGCGAGAGAACUCUGGUUAAGGAACUCGGCAAAAUGACCCCGUAACUUCGGGAGAAGGGGUGCUUUCUUAACGGAAAGCCGCAGUGAAUAGGCCCAAGCGACUGUUUAGCAAAAACACAGCUCUCUGCGAAGCCGUAAGGCGAAGUAUAGGGGGUGACACCUGCCCGGUGCUGGAAGGUUAAGGAGAGGGGUUAGCGUAAGCGAAGCUCUGAACUGAAGCCCCAGUAAACGGCGGCCGUAACUAUAACGGUCCUAAGGUAGCGAAAUUCCUUGUCGGGUAAGUUCCGACCCGCACGAAAGGUGUAACGAUUUGGGCACUGUCUCAACCAGAGACUCGGUGAAAUUAUAGUACCUGUGAAGAUGCAGGUUACCCGCGACAGGACGGAAAGACCCCGUGGAGCUUUACUGUAGCCUGAUAUUGAAUUUUGGUACAGUUUGUACAGGAUAGGCGGGAGCCAUUGAAACCGGAGCGCUAGCUUCGGUGGAGGCGCUGGUGGGAUACCGCCCUGACUGUAUUGAAAUUCUAACCUACGGGUCUUAUCGACCCGGGAGACAGUGUCAGGUGGGCAGUUUGACUGGGGCGGUCGCCUCCUAAAGUGUAACGGAGGCGCCCAAAGGUUCCCUCAGAAUGGUUGGAAAUCAUUCGUAGAGUGCAAAGGCAUAAGGGAGCUUGACUGCGAGACCUACAAGUCGAGCAGGGACGAAAGUCGGGCUUAGUGAUCCGGUGGUUCCGCAUGGAAGGGCCAUCGCUCAACGGAUAAAAGCUACCCCGGGGAUAACAGGCUUAUCUCCCCCAAGAGUCCACAUCGACGGGGAGGUUUGGCACCUCGAUGUCGGCUCAUCGCAUCCUGGGGCUGUAGUCGGUCCCAAGGGUUGGGCUGUUCGCCCAUUAAAGCGGUACGCGAGCUGGGUUCAGAACGUCGUGAGACAGUUCGGUCCCUAUCCGUCGUGGGCGUAGGAAAUUUGAGAGGAGCUGUCCUUAGUACGAGAGGACCGGGAUGGACGCACCGCUGGUGUACCAGUUGUUCUGCCAAGGGCAUAGCUGGGUAGCUAUGUGCGGAAGGGAUAAGUGCUGAAAGCAUCUAAGCAUGAAGCCCCCCUCAAGAUGAGAUUUCCCAUAGCGUAAGCUAGUAAGAUCCCUGAAAGAUGAUCAGGUUGAUAGGUUCGAGGUGGAAGCAUGGUGACAUGUGGAGCUGACGAAUACUAAUAGAUCGAGGACUUAACCAU